UGGGGAAUAUUGGACAAUGGGCGCAAGCCUGAUCCAGCCAUGCCGCGGGAGUGAUGAAGGCCUUAGGGUUGUAAAGCUCUUUUAGCAGGGAAGAUAAUGACGGUACCUGCAGAAAAAGCCCCGGCUAACUUCGUGCCAGCAGCCGCGGUAAUACGAAGGGGGCUAGCGUUGCUCGGAAUUACUGGGCGUAAAGCGCACGUAGGCGGACUCUUAAGUCGGUGGUGAAAUCCUGGAGCUCAACUCCAGAACUGCCUUCGAUACUGGGAGUCUUGAGUUCGGGAGAGGUGAGUGGAACUGCGAGUGUAGAGGUGAAAUUCGUAGAUAUUCGCAAGAACACCAGUGGCGAAGGCGGCUCACUGGCCCGAUACUGACGCUGAGGUGCGAAAGCGUGGGGAGCAAACA
rnacentral:rRNA from 1 species